GCUUAUGUAGUGGAAUGGCAAACACAAGAGGCAGGUGCUUCAGAGGCAAAGAAAACACUGAUUUUAUUGAACAAACAAGCAAAAUGUAAUAUAUUUACAGAAAACAAGAAAGUGAAUGUCAAAAACCCACCUUUCUCUGACUGAGACCUGUCUCUCUGUUAACUUGACCCCCAGUUGAGCCUUGCGGCCAAGACUUGAUACAGUACCCUGGUAUGAAAACGCGGUUUUGACAGGUUCUUGUCCAUAGUCUCUUGCCGUAGCUGGGACUCCGUGAAGGGCCAUGAGUGCCGGUAACAGUCGGUCUGGUGGUGUGCACAGAUGCAGUUAGCUGCGUGGGACCAGACCGAUUUUAGGCCCAUACAACUGAGCCAAACUCAUGAUUGGUGCAUUCCUUAUGGCCUUGCUACAUAGACAAAAGUAAUAAUGAAGGAGAAAGCAAUUACAAUGGCAUCAGCAAACCCAGCAAGAAGAGUAAUAUCCAGCAACUGCUGCCCUGUUUCUAAAUGGAUAUGCAGCCAGUGAAGAACUCUCAAGGAGAUGAAAGAGAACAGACCCUACAUACACCAAGCUCACUGUCAUUUUCCACAGCUUUCAGAAAUACUCUGCAGGUGCAGGCUAAGGGUGUCCUGGGCCACCGUCACUCAAACUAUAUCACUUGUGAAGCUGGACUCACACUCAAAAGGAAUGGGUGACCUUUUUAUACCAGUGGCUAUCAAAGGUCCAGCUUGUUUCAAGGGGCAGCCAGGAACUGGUAUGGUAUUUCCCAGUCCUCAACCCAAAAACACAUCUGGAAAUCUUGUCCCAUUUCCUCCUAAUUACACCAGUUUAUAUACUCCAAUCAUGCCGAUGAGAGUCAAGCUAUCCAGGAUGUGGCAUUCUCCGACAUUACUAGCUUCUCCUAGGGGCAAGGUUUUAUAGACUUACAUCCAUUUUGCUUUGAGAGCACCUGAUCAGCAAACUGCAAAGUUUUUAUCGAUAGAAAAGUCUCCCACUUGGUCAAUGUGCAGCUUAUCUGUGACCAUUGAUGUCGGAUUCUGGAGGAAUACAGUGGAUAGCUUUGGAGCUGCCGUGAUGUUCAUACACAGGAGGACUCAAGCUCCUGUCUCCUUCCAAAAUCAUCGGACCAUACAGAGAUGGCUUCUGGGAGAUCAGGGUUACACCCUCCAAACCUGGUCAAUGACUCCCUUACAAAACCCUCAGACUGUAGUAGAAGGGAGAAACAACAAUGAGCAUGUUUUCACCAGUCCGCUAAUGGAACAGAUUAAAAUGAGACUUUGAUGCCUGGACCACUCUGGUAAGGCCUUGCGGUACAACCUAGAAAGGGUGUCCUGUUUCAUUUUGGUAUGCUGUGCCCUUCACAAUUGGAUCCAGACGCAGGUGCUGAUGCAUGAAUCAUUUUUUGAUGUUAUUUUGCCAAUGAAGUUAUAGGGAUACAGUCUCAAUAAAAACUUGAUGAAUUAA